AUGGUGCAGUGGCGGUUCAGGGCCACUCCGGUAACGGGUGGCCUUAGGAAACUCUCCAGGCACACGGGUCUCCCUGGGGUUAAUUCACCCAGGGGGACUUAGGCCUGUACUGGGUCAAUGAGCUCCGUGCGGCGAGACCCAGGUUGGGCUCCAGGUGGAUGCCGACAGAAGGGGAGUUAUACUGCACCAU
rnacentral:RNase_P_RNA from 2 species